rnacentral:rRNA from 1 species
AGAAUGAACGCUAGCGAUAUGCUUAACACAUGCAAGUUGAACGUUGUUUUCGAAUCAGAAUGAGAACAAAGUAGCGAACGGGUGCGUAACACGUGGGAAUCUGCCGAACAGUUUGGGCCAAAUCCCGAAUGAAUAAAAGCUAAAAAGCGCUGUUUGAUGAGCCCACGUAGUAUUAGGUAGUUGGUUAGGUAAAAGCUGACCAAGCCUACGAUGCUUAGCUGGUCUUUUCGGAUGAUCAGCCACACUGGGACUGAGACACGGCCCAGACUCCUACGGGAGGCAGCAGUGGGGGAAUCUUGGACAAUGGGCGAAAGCCUGAUCCGGCAAUAUGGCGUGAGUGAAGAAGGGCAACGCAGCUUGUAAAGCUCUUUCAUCGAGUGUGCGAUUGUGACAAGACUCGAAUAAGAAGCCCCGGCUAACUCCGCGCCAGCAGCCGC